GGGUUCCCCACUCCUCCUGACGCCGGCGAAGCCGACCGGAAGAGUGGGAACCAAUCUAUGGAGGAGGAUGAACUGGAGGCAGCUAGGGUUUCGAUGAUGGAAGGGUUGCUUCGAUAGGUCCAGUCAGGCCCAUUCUAUUUCCUCUUCUCUCUCAACUCUAAUCCCGUGUCGAAGCGCAUCUCGAUCCCCACCGGCCACCGCCUCCGCUCUGUCCGGCCCCGCCGCGACUCCCCGACCGACGGCGCCACCAGCCGCCGCCGCCCUGACGAGGUCACGGUUGCUAUCGGCGUCUCCCUGCUAGGCCCUCUCCCCGCGGCCAGAGGAGCUCGUGGUUGUGCGCGUGAGGCUCGCUCGGUCCGUGCCCAUGGCUGUGAUGCGCGCCCCCGUCGUCCGCAUCAGGUGCUAGCAGGGACGGAGCAGGUCGGCGCUGCUGUCUUGGAUAACCUGACCCCAUUCCAGUAGAGGUCAUGGAUCAUACAUGACCUCCCUAGAUUAGUAGACAUUCUUGGAAUUGUUAUCAGGAACUGUUAAUUGGAACCACCCAAUGGAUCACAAGCUUUUCUCUUGAAUAAUCAGGCGAAUAAUGUAGAUCAACAUCACAGAAUGCAUCAUGGCAUGGAUUUCUCAUUGGAGCUGUCAUCUUGAACCAUAAUUUGUGGUAGAUGUGGUGGCAGUAAUGAAUUACUCAAAUAUUGCAUCUAUCCCAAACCAAUUUUUCAAACAGAAGUUUACCGUAAACUCUUGCUGGUUGGAUAAUAUUGAUAACCACGGAUGAAUGAUAUUACACAAAGUAAUGAUGAUGCAAGGGAGCGCAUCCAGUUUUGCUGAAGAUCGCCUCCACGCGGCUAACAUUGAACUUACCAUGUUGGAUUAAGCAAUGCUGCCACUCUUGUGUAGAUGCCCGAACAUGUAAGUUAUGUCUAAAUCCAUUAGUAGUAUAUCAAAACUCCAAGAUCCCCAGGGCCUGCAAUCUUUACGUUCACUGCUGGACAAUCUCAUCUAAAUCAAAGA